rnacentral:rRNA from 1 species
UUAAGCGACUAAGCGUACACGGUGGAUGCCCUGGCAGUCAGAGGCGAUGAAGGACGUGCUAAUCUGCGAUAAGCGUCGGUAAGGUGAUAUGAACCGUUAUAACCGGCGAUUUCCGAAUGGGGAAACCCAGUGUGAUUCGUCACACUAUCAUUAACUGAAUCCAUAGGUUAAUGAGGCGAACCGGGGGAACUGAAACAUCUAAGUACCCCGAGGAAAAGAAAUCAACCGAGAUUCCCCCAGUAGCGGCGAGCGAACGGGGAGGAGCCCAGAGCCUGAAUCAGUGUGUGUGUUAGUGGAAGCGUCUGGAAAGGCGCGCGAUACAGGGUGACAGCCCCGUACACAAAAAUGCACAUGCUGUGAGCUCGAUGAGUAGGGCGGGACACGUGGUAUCCUGUCUGAAUAUGGGGGGACCAUCCUCCAAGGCUAAAUACUCCUGACUGACCGAUAGUGAACCAGUACCGUGAGGGAAAGGCGAAAAGAACCCCGGCGAGGGGAGUGAAAAAGAACCUGAAACCGUGUACGUACAAGCAGUGGGAGCACGCUUAGGCGUGUGACUGCGUACCUUUUGUAUAAUGGGUCAGCGACUUAUAUUCUGUAGCAAGGUUAACCGAAUAGGGGAGCCGAAGGGAAACCGAGUCUUAACUGGGCGUUAAGUUGCAGGGUAUAGACCCGAAACCCGGUGAUCUAGCCAUGGGCAGGUUGAAGGUUGGGUAACACUAACUGGAGGACCGAACCGACUAAUGUUGAAAAAUUAGCGGAUGACUUGUGGCUGGGGGUGAAAGGCCAAUCAAACCGGGAGAUAGCUGGUUCUCCCCGAAAGCUAUUUAGGUAGCGCCUCGUGAAUUCAUCUCCGGGGGUAGAGCACUGUUUCGGCAAGGGGGUCAUCCCGACUUACCAACCCGAUGCAAACUGCGAAUACCGGAGAAUGUUAUCACGGGAGACACACGGCGGGUGCUAACGUCCGUCGUGAAGAGGGAAACAACCCAGACCGCCAGCUAAGGUCCCAAAGUCAUGGUUAAGUGGGAAACGAUGUGGGAAGGCCCAGACAGCCAGGAUGUUGGCUUAGAAGCAGCCAUCAUUUAAAGAAAGCGUAAUAGCUCACUGGUCGAGUCGGCCUGCGCGGAAGAUGUAACGGGGCUAAACCAUGCACCGAAGCUGCGGCAGCGACGCUUAUGCGUUGUUGGGUAGGGGAGCGUUCUGUAAGCCUGUGAAGGUGUGCUGUGAGGCAUGCUGGAGGUAUCAGAAGUGCGAAUGCUGACAUAAGUAACGAUAAAGCGGGUGAAAAGCCCGCUCGCCGGAAGACCAAGGGUUCCUGUCCAACGUUAAUCGGGGCAGGGUGAGUCGACCCCUAAGGCGAGGCCGAAAGGCGUAGUCGAUGGGAAACAGGUUAAUAUUCCUGUACUUGGUGUUACUGCGAAGGGGGGACGGAGAAGGCUAUGUUGGCCGGGCGACGGUUGUCCCGGUUUAAGCGUGUAGGCUGGUUUUCCAGGUAAAUCCGGAAAAUCAAGGCUGAGGCGUGAUGACGAGGCACUACGGUGCUGAAGCAACAAAUGCCCUGCUUCCAGGAAAAGCCUCUAAGCAUCAGGUAACAUCAAAUCGUACCCCAAACCGACACAGGUGGUCAGGUAGAGAAUACCAAGGCGCUUGAGAGAACUCGGGUGAAGGAACUAGGCAAAAUGGUGCCGUAACUUCGGGAGAAGGCACGCUGAUAUGUAGGUGAAGUCCCUCGCGGAUGGAGCUGAAAUCAGUCGAAGAUACCAGCUGGCUGCAACUGUUUAUUAAAAACACAGCACUGUGCAAACACGAAAGUGGACGUAUACGGUGUGACGCCUGCCCGGUGCCGGAAGGUUAAUUGAUGGGGUCAGCGCAAGCGAAGCUCUUGAUCGAAGCCCCGGUAAACGGCGGCCGUAACUAUAACGGUCCUAAGGUAGCGAAAUUCCUUGUCGGGUAAGUUCCGACCUGCACGAAUGGCGUAAUGAUGGCUAGGCUGUCUCCACCCGAGACUCAGUGAAAUUGAACUCGCUGUGAAGAUGCAGUGUACCCGCGGCAAGACGGAAAGACCCCGUGAACCUUUACUAUAGCUUGACACUGAACAUUGAGCCUUGAUGUGUAGGAUAGGUGGGAGGCUUAGAAGUGUGGACGCCAGUCUGCAUGGAGCCGACCUUGAAAUACCACCCUUUAAUGUUUGAUGUUCUAACGUUGACCCGUAAUCCGGGUUGCGGACAGUGUCUGGUGGGUAGUUUGACUGGGGCGGUCUCCUCCUAAAGAGUAACGGAGGAGCACGAAGGUUGGCUAAUCCUGGUCGGACAUCAGGAGGUUAGUGCAAUGGCAUAAGCCAGCUUGACUGCGAGCGUGACGGCGCGAGCAGGUGCGAAAGCAGGUCAUAGUGAUCCGGUGGUUCUGAAUGGAAGGGCCAUCGCUCAACGGAUAAAAGGUACUCCGGGGAUAACAGGCUGAUACCGCCCAAGAGUUCAUAUCGACGGCGGUGUUUGGCACCUCGAUGUCGGCUCAUCACAUCCUGGGGCUGAAGUAGGUCCCAAGGGUAUGGCUGUUCGCCAUUUAAAGUGGUACGCGAGCUGGGUUUAGAACGUCGUGAGACAGUUCGGUCCCUAUCUGCCGUGGGCGCUGGAGAACUGAGGGGGGCUGCUCCUAGUACGAGAGGACCGGAGUGGACGCAUCACUGGUGUUCGGGUUGUCAUGCCAAUGGCACUGCCCGGUAGCUAAAUGCGGAAGAGAUAAGUGCUGAAAGCAUCUAAGCACGAAACUUGCCCCGAGAUGAGUUCUCCCUGACUCCUUGAGAGUCCUGAAGGAACGUUGAAGACGACGACGUUGAUAGGCCGGGUGUGUAAGCGCAGCGAUGCGUUGAGCUAACCGGUACUAAUGAACCGUGAGGCUUAACCUU